UACGUAGGGGGCAAGCGUUGUCCGGAUUUAUUGGGCGUAAAGGGCGUGUAGGCGGUCUGGUAAGUCUUCUGUGAAAUCUACGGGCUUAGCCUGUAACGUGCAGAGGAAACUACCAGGCUUGAGUGUCGGAGAGGAUAGGGGAAUUCCCGGUGUAGAGGUGAAAUUCGUAGAGAUCGGGAGGAACACCAGUGGCGAAGGCGCCUAUCUGGCUGACAACUGACGCUGAGACUCGAAAGCAUGGGGAGCAAACAGG
rnacentral:rRNA from 1 species